AAUUAGGCGACUUUGCUAUAAAUGGCAGCUAGCUCUACACUAUUUCGGGCAUUCGCUAACAAUCAGUGUGCAGAUAACUAGCGCAAACGUGCCGAGAUAUCUUGUUUAUUAUAAAAAUAAACGCUUGUGUUGUGCCAUGGCUUAUAUGGUGAUGACGUUUGAGAUUGUAAAUUUACGGGCCACAGAUGUGUCUAUGGUUUGAAACCCAGACAGCACGAAGCAUCUUGCCGACGUCAAAAUCAGAUCAACAGACUGGGACAUCAGCCUUCUCUUGGGAAUAGGCCAGAUAUGCCAUAACAAGAAAUGGUGUUUUGCCCCUGCGGUUGUGAAGAGGAUGCUGUGGAGGUGGCAGCAUGAACGUGUCACACAGACAUUGGCUAAACUACUCGGCUUCUACACUUGCCCUCAGAGUUCACAUAUGGUGACGUGCACAUGUGUCCAGUCAGGUUCAGACUGAUGCUGGUAACAAGAGGAGAACAUGCUAAUUGAUGCUGUGUUGCUGCCAGUCCACGGAUGUACACGAAUGGCUCACCUGGAGGAGGAGGGCGGUCAACGACAUUACUCAUUGACAACAAAUGUGCUCUACGAUGACAUUUCCAGCAUGUCCAACUCAUCAGCAUCAGGGGAGAUUCGGUGGAGGUGGUGCACCAUCCAGGACCAGUCAUGGGCCACCAAAACCUCUGCAAAAUCUACACUUCUUGUGAACCCUGUAGAAGACACUACAACCACAAAACUGCUAAUAAACCAUCACAUACUGCGUCACA